ACCCAAGUCUAUUUUGAGCAUCUUCAAACACAUUGCACAACAAUGGUAGUAAAUAUCUCUUCGUACAGCAUGUUAGCCCUGCAUAGUAUUUAGUUUCAUGAUUUCGGAAUAUUGGCAGAUUUGCCCUAAUAUAAUUUUUAUUGUUAUGUAGAUGUUAAACGACAUUAGCGUUUGUGUAAAUGAAUGACAUACACGUAGCUUCAAAACAGGCAAAUAAACAGUAGUAAUUUAAAAUAUACACAACUGAAUCUUUCUCCUCUCUUCUAGGUGGUCAUCAACCUGGGCGACUGACAGCUGACCGUGCUCCACAUGCCUGGUCACUCCAGGGGCAGCAUCUGCCUUCACAAUCGAGACAAUAAGUUGCUCUUUAGUGGAGAUGUGGUGUAUGACGGUGCCAUGAUUGACUGGCUGCCCUACAGCCGUGUCAGUGAUUAUGUCAGCAGCUGCGAGCGAUUGGUUGGACUGGUGGACAGUGAAGAGGUGGACCAAGUCCUUCCUGGUCACUACAGAAUCAGAAUCAGAAUCAGAAUCAGAAUCUCUUUAUUGUCAUAUGCACCAGGGAAGGUGAUACGAAAUUUAGUUUUGUACGACCCGUUCCAAGAAAAAAACAUGAAUAGACAAUAAAAACAAUACAAAUAAUUGACAAGGGGGGACAGGAACAGGAAGGCCAGGACGCAGCCCGUGGUCAGCGCACCCUUAUAUUAGAUGAAAAACAACUGAAAAA